rfam:Pristionchus pacificus strain PS312 contig226, whole genome shotgun sequence.
UCUUCAUUUCCCGUGCUCUCUCACCGUUCAGAGAGGCGAGAGAGUGUGCGAAAUGAAGAGA